ACGGAGGAUUCGAGCGUUAUCCGGAAUCAUUGGGUUUAAAGGGUCCGUAGGCGGCCUUAUAAGUCAGUGGUGAAAUCUCCUGGCUCAACCAGGAAAUUGCCAUUGAUACUGUAGGGCUUGAAUGUUUAGGAAGUAACUAGAAUAUGUAGUGUAGCGGUGAAAUGCUUAGAUAUUACAUGGAAUACCAAUUGCGAAGGCAGGUUACUACUAAAUGAUUGACGCUGAUGGACGAAAGCGUGGGUAGCGAACAGG
rnacentral:rRNA from 1 species